CAAAUACUCCUCCCGACCGGAAAUACUUGUCAUCAAAAUGGAUAAAAGGAAAUGUAUCUAGACGUAUUUUAGUUUUAGAUACAUCUCUGCUUAUCCAUUUUGAUGACAAGUAUUUUCGGACGGAGGGAGUAGAAA
rfam:Triticum aestivum genome assembly, contig: Triticum_aestivum_CS42_TGACv1_scaffold_210415_3AS